UACGUAGGGUGCAAGCGUUAAUCGGAAUUACUGGGCGUAAAGCGUGCGCAGGCGGUAAUGUAAGACAGUUGUGAAAUCCCCGGGCUCAACCUGGGAACUGCAUCUGUGACUGCAUCGCUGGAGUGCGGCAGAGGGGGAUGGAAUUCCGCGUGUAGCAGUGAAAUGCGUAGAUAUGCGGAGGAACACCGAUGGCGAAGGCAAUCCCCUGGGCCUGCACCGACGCUCAUGCACGAAAGCGUGGGGAGCAAACAGG
rnacentral:rRNA from 1 species